GGCCGGGGAACGGGGCGCUUCCUCCGGCUUCCACCUCCUUCUCCCCCGGCGGGGCGCUCGCUCGCUCGCUCGCUCUCUUUCCGCCCCCCCUUUUUCUCCGUCUGGCUCCUUACUCCGGCUGCUCCAUGGGGCCGGAGGAGAGGGGCGAGGAGGCCCCCGCGGAGCCGGUGCGAGCGGGCGGGCGGCUGCCGGAGCCGGCUCCUCUCCGCGUCCCCCCGCCCCCGAGGCCGGUCCUCGUCGGGGCGCUGCCGAUGUUACCGUCCGGCGCUCCCCGGGCGCGGGGAGAAGCUCUGGGGGGACGUCGGGGUGAGUCCUCUUCCUUCCAACGGCUUCGGCCCCCGUCAGUGCCGGGACGGCGGGCUGGCUCCUCGCUGCGGCGCGGGCAGCAGCCGGGUUAUUGGGGUUAUUAGUGUUAUUGUCAUUAUCUCUCUCUUCCCCUGUGGUUCUGUCUCUCUCCACCACUUUCAGACCAGCCCAUUAUAACGCCGGCGAGAGGCGGAGCCAGGACAAAGAUCUGAAAGGGUGGUGGGUGGAGAAGCAAGGUAGCAAAGGUCCCUCCCCUUCCCGGGUAUUUCGAAUGAAGCCGCGGUUCGGCGCGACUCCGCAGAGCCGGGCCCGCCUCCCAGGUGUAAAAUGCAGAAUGACUUAUAGGUGGCAGAGCAGAACCUGUUACAUGCAGUGAUUUAUUUUAAUAGUGCCGUAUAUAGCAACAAGUUGUAAUGUGACAGCUCAACAACCUGUUGGAAAAUAAUACACGGACGGCUUCGCACUUGUGAAUUCCUAAUGAUUUAUGUAGCCUGACGAAGUCGUUUCAGUCCUGGCCCCUCUUUCCUUCUUGUCAUAACUGCACCCGGUGCAAGGGGUAAAAUGGGAACAGGUAGGCAAUGCUGUGGGCUUUUGCUACGAGAGAAUUAGCCAAAACCUUAGCCUUAGUUUCAGUUGUGUUAAUGUGCAUAUAAUAGCGUUGCUUGAUCUCUUCCGGACAGUGCAUUUGUAACCUCUCUCUUGUAACUGCCACUCUCCAAUAAAAUCUUUUAUUGUG